AACUUCUGUGUAUAACCGUAUAUAAGACAACUGCUGGAACUGUCCCAGGGGAGCUUCUGACAGACAUGUGUACUAUGGUGCAUUGAGUUGGUUGGAAUCUCUCCAGCGCGCUGACAAUAAACAAUGAUUCAUUUAAGAUUGACUUCGAGUGUCCCUGUGUAAGAAUAUUUCUGCCUGCGGAGCUUUCCAGUUGGGGUCUGCGAGGAAAACCGGAGGCGCAUUUUAUGAAGCGUGAGGGAAAUUCCUGUCCGACCAAAAGAGGACGAGGACCAGUCCAGAUCCUUACUGUGAGCUGCCCAGGAGGAGACACAUCACCCACGAACAAUUGAGGGACGGCAACUUAUUUCAGAGCGACAUGUGGUGCACGUGAGCAUGGAGAGAGAUCCAGUCCAAACUUCUCUCAUGCUGCUGGUGUCCUGGUAGGAAAAUGGACAAGGACAUAAUGAACUGUAAAGGACAGUGGCGGCUCAGGUGGAUGUCCCAGGGACAGUUCGUGAAAACAUAGGUCAACGCAACCCAAGUGUGGAAAGAAAUAUGGAAACAAUGGUUAACAUCAAGAUAUUUAUUCACCUCUGAAUCUACAGAUCCGUUGUGUAUUUUGGAUACUCACUCCCAUUAAUAAAGUACAACCUUGAUUAUGAUUAUAGUAUUACCAUACUAAGUGGAUUGUACAACGCAGAAUGAAGGUCUUGAAAUGAUGAAGUGUCUGUUUUGUUUUUUUGUUGAUUUCCCUUACUUUCAUAGAGUAUAGAAUAUUUUGAUAUAGAAGCUAAAAUGUAAAUGCUUACGUUAAAAUUGAAUGGUUAUCACACAUAAGAGGAUGGAAUGUAAUGGGAAUUUUAACGUUUGCUUUUCUUACAACCAAUUUCUGUGUUCUAUUCAUGUGCUGUUCUAAUAACAAUUUUCUGUGUUCUUGCAAGUGGCUGACUGACAAAUCACACCUAUCAGUAGCUGCAAUUUGGCAGUACGCCCAAAUGUUAUUUUGAGAACAAACAACCGUGUUUUGAGAACAAAUGAAAGAUAUCUCAGUUUCAAGAUCUCAGCUUAGAGUGGAGAAGCCUCGUGAGGUGUUGGUCUGUCACAUGUUAUGAAACAGUAUUGGUCGGUCACAUGAAUGAAACAACAUGGUAAUGAUUAAUUGAUUAUGCUAAAUCAUGCAAAUAUAACUUGUCUGUGUAUAGCCCGUACAUAGGACAACUGCUGUGACUGUCCCAGGGGAGCUUCUGACAGACGUGUACUAUGGUGCAUUGAGUUGGUUGGAACCUUUCCAGCACGCUGACAAUAAACAAU